GCCGGGGUGGCAGAAUCUGGUUAAUGCGCCGGUCUUGAAAACCGGUUCCCUCGCGGGAUUUAGGGUUCAAAUCCCUACCCCGGCG
rnacentral:tRNA from 1 species